UACGAAGGGGGCUAGCGUUGCUCGGAAUCACUGGGCGUAAAGCGCACGUAGGCGGAUCUUUCCGUCAGGGGUGAAAUCCUGGAGCUCAACUCCAGAACUGCCUUUGAUACUGGGGAUCUCGAGUCCGGAAGAGGUGAGUGGAACUCCGAGUGUAGAGGUGAAAUUCGUAGAUAUUCGGAAGAACACCAGUGGCGAAGGCGGCUCACUGGUCCGGUACUGACGCUGAGGUGCGAAAGCGUGGGGAGCAAACAGG
rnacentral:rRNA from 1 species